rnacentral:ncRNA from 1 species
CAAAGGCCUGGUCCCGACUUUACUAUCAGCUUUAGCCCAACUUAUACAUGCAAGUAUCCGCACCCCUGUGAGAAUGCCCUCAAUCCCCCACCCGGGGACGAGGAGCCGGCAUCAGGCACACCCCUAUUUUGGCCCAAGACGCCUUGCUUCGCCACACCCCUAAGGGAACUCAGCAGUAAUAAACAUUAAGCCAUAAGUGAAAACUUGACUUAAUUAGGGCUACUUAGGGUCGGUAAAACUCGUGCCAGCCACCGCGGUUAUACGAGAGACCCUAGUUGAUAAACACGGCGUAAAGAGUGGUUAAGGAUAAAAACAAAUAAAGUCAAACAAUCUCUUAGCUGUUAUACGCAUUAUGAGAACAUGAAGCCCCCCUACGAAAGUAACUUUACUAUUACCUGACCCCACGAAAGCUAAGAAACAAACUGGGAUUAGAUACCCCACUAUGCUUAGCCGUAAACCUAGAUGUUAAUUUUACAAAAACAUCCGCCAGGGUACUACAAGCGCCAGCUUAAAACCCAAAGGACUUGACGGUGUCUCAGACCCACCUAGAGGAGCCUGUUCUAGAACCGAUAAUCCACGUUAAACCUCACCACCCCUUGUCUUCCCCGCCUAUAUACCGCCGUCGCAAGCUUACCCUGUGAAGGAUAAACAGUAAGCAAAAUGGGUAUCUCCCAGAACGUCAGGUCGAGGUGUAGCUUACGGGGUGGAAAGAAAUGGGCUACAUUUUCUACACCAGAAUAUACGAAUGAUACUAUGAAAUUAGUACCUGAAGGUGGAUUUAGUAGUAAAAAUCAAAUAGAGAGUCAUUUUGAAAUUAGGCUCUGAGACGCGCACACACCGCCCGUCGCCCUCCCCAACUUUGAACCAAAUAAGUAAUUAACCAACUAAUUAACAUUAACGGGGAGAUAAGUCGUAACAUGGUAAGUGUACCGGAAGGUGCACUUGGAACAU